AUAAUUAGUUGGGGUCUCUUUGGUUUAAAUAAUUAGGGGCGUGAGUCGGGUAUAAAGAUAUGAUUAAGAUUAUGGAAGAGGGUCUAGGGGAUUAGGACAUAGGAAAAUUAAUUAAUCACAAAUUAAUUUGGUGCCAGCAAUUGCGGUUAGACUAAGUGUGAGAGUGAAUUGAGGCGAGUUAGGUGCUGAAUUUGAGGGAGAGUAGGCGGGGGGCUUAGGGCGUAGAAUUUCGGUGGAAAGUGAUUUACGGUGGGGGUUUCCGCUUGUUUGAAUGAGUAGGUACAGGAUGCUCAGGUAUAGAAUAGGAUUAGAUACCCUAGUAUUAGAGAGUAAGAUAUGGAGUAAUGGAGUAGUAAAUGUAGAGCAUUAAAUUCAUAUAAUUUGGCGGUAUUUUUAGAAUUAGGGGAACUUGCUUGGUAAUUGAUAUUCCACGAUUAGGGGUACUUAAUCUAGUUGUUUUUAUGUAUUGUUGUUUAAAAUUUAUCAUUUGAGUGUGGGUUAUGUGUAUAGCCUUGAUAGAGGAUGAAUUCAAAUCAAAAUGUAGGGUGGUUAAGGCGGGGUGAGUUACAGUGGACUUGGGUCGGUGGAUUUAAGAUUUUAAGGUUUUAAUAAAAGAGGAUUUAAUAGUAAGUUUAUUUAUAUAAAUAGGUUGAAGUUUAUAAAGAAUGCGUACAAAUUGCCCGUCACUUUCAUUUAAAGAUGGAAAAAGUCGUAACAUAGUAAAUGUACUGGAAAGUGUAUUUAGUUGUAAGUUUUUAGUUUAAAGAAAAUAUU
rnacentral:rRNA from 1 species